rnacentral:rRNA from 1 species
UACGUAGGGUGCGAGCGUUGUCCGGAAUUAUUGGGCGUAAAGGGCUCGUAGGCGGUUUGUCGCGUCGGGAGUGAAAACACCGGGCUUAACUCGGUGCUUGCUUUCGAUACGGGCAGACUAGAGGCAUGCGGGGGAGAACGGAAUUCCUGGUGUAGCGGUGAAAUGCGCAGAUAUCAGGAGGAACACCGGUGGCGAAGGCGGUUCUCUGGGCAUGUCCUGACGCUGAGGAGCGAAAGUGUGGGGAGCGAACAGG